rnacentral:rRNA from 1 species
UGACCCGUCUUGAAACACGGACCAAGGAGUUUAUCGUGUGCGCAAGUCAUUGGGUGUUGAAAACUCAAAGGCGCAAUGAAAGUAAAGAAUCCGCAAGGAUACGACGUGUGAUCUGAGCAAUCACGAUUGCCUGGAGCAACAUGGCCCCAUUCUGGUCGCUUGCGACGGGGUGGAGGAAGAGCGUACGCGGUGAGACCCGAAAGAUGGUGAACUAUUCCUGAGCAGGAUGAAGCCAGAGGAAACUCUGGUGGAAGUCCGAAGCGAUUCUGACGUGCAAAUCGAUCGUCUGACUUGGGUAUAGGGGCGAAAGAC